CCUGCUGCUUGUCGAUCACUUUUAAAAAUUACAGUCUCCUCAUUAACUGGAGGUAGGUUAGUCAUAGAUUCAAUUAUUACUGAAAAAUAAAAUAGAUUACUUCAAGAUUUACUUAUAAGAGAAUGUAGAAUUUCAAUGAAAAUCUAAGCUUUAAUUCCAACAUAAUUUUAAAAAAAAUUGAAGGUGGGAUUAUUACCUCAUUAACCAUUUUCUCUUCAGUAAACAAAGUCUACUUAUUACCAAAUAGCACUGGGAAAUGUUUUAUACCUAUUUUUAAUACAAAAAGCUACAAUUCUAAGGGAAAAAAAUUAAAAUGCAAAUCCCACAGAAAAUCUGAAUCAUCCAUUAAAGAUUCAACAAAUUCAACCUAUGUACAUAUUCUCAAGUAAUUUUUACCAAAAAUAGUGUAAUCACGUUUAGUUGUAAAACUGUUUUAGAAGAAAUUAGUCUUCUUUCUCACUCUUAAAAAUUCUUUUCUACAAAGCACUGUUUAGUUACUGGUAUAUGAAAAAGUUAAAUAAAAGGCUUCACAAAAGCAUCUUCCUAUGAACAGAAGAAGUAAAAGUGCUAGAGCUCACAGUAAUUUUUAUCGUUACAUGAAAAUUCCCUCCUCAAAAAGCAAAAACAUAAUCUCCAAAUCUCCAGUUCUUUUAAAUGACACAAAUGUUAAAGAACUGAUCUACCAUAACAAAGAGAAAACACACGCACACACAAACACACUCUCAAUAAGUUGGAUAGAGACAGGAAAAUGUUGGGCUAAUUUGUCUUCUUUGGGGCUGGAAAUUUUGUGAUUUCUAUGUUCAACAUACUGUUCUCAGAUAUGUUAAAAUACAUACAUG
rnacentral:lncRNA from 1 species